AGAGUAAGGGGACGACUGGUUUUCUCGCUACCACCCGCAAACGCAGCUUUUGCGGUUGGUUGCGAUUGUCGGUGGUUUGCAACAAUCACUCAAAUCGCUCUAAACCGCUUCAAACCGCUCUGAAUCUCAUAAAUUUAAAUGCUGGCUCCAGCUAGCGUUUGCGGUUGCGGGCGGUUGUGGGAGGGUAAAUUUUUUUUUUUUUUAAAACAAUAUAUAUACAAAAGUAAAAAUAUUUAAUAAAAAAUUUAAAAUUGAAAUUAUGAAAAUAUUAAAAUAUAUCUAUUAUAUUUUAAUUAAUAUUAUAAAAUUUUAUAAUAAAAACAAUUUCAAUAAAUUUUCAAAAAUUAAAAUUAUAACUUUCUAAAUAUAAAUUUUAUAUUUAUUAUAAUUUUCUGAUUUUUGAUAUUUUUAUAAUUAUAUUAAAUGUAAAUAUUGUUAAUUUAUUAUUUGACUGUUACCGUAUUUGGUAGUUAACCAGUCAUAAAUCACCCGCAAACGCACCAAUUUUUAGCCACAGUACCAGUCGUACAAAUCUCUUAAAACUGCUAGAAACUGCAACUGCUCGCAUCCACAAAUUCCCGCAACCGCAACCGCUGCGUUUGAACC
rnacentral:lncRNA from 1 species